rnacentral:tRNA from 1 species
CCCCCUUAGUAUAACUAAUACUAAUGACUUCCAAUCAUAAAAUCCAGACUAAUAAGCUGGGGGGGGC